rnacentral:rRNA from 1 species
GGUGAAAAGCACCCCGGAAGGGGAGUGAAAUAGAACCUGAAACCGUGUGCUUACAAGUAGUCAGAGCCCGUUAAUGGGUGAUGGCGUGCCUUUUGUAGAAUGAACCGGCGAGUUACGAUUUGAUGCAAGGUUAAGCAGUAAAUGUGGAGCCGUAGCGAAAGCGAGUCUGAAUAGGGCGUUUAGUAUUUGGUCGUAGACCCGAAACCAGGUGAUCUACCCUUGGUCAGGUUGAAGUUCAGGUAACACUGAAUGGAGGACCGAACCGACUUACGUUGAAAAGUGAGCGGAUGAACUGAGGGUAGCGGAGAAAUUCCAAUCGAACCUGGAGAUAGCUGGUUCUCUCCGAAAUAGCUUUAGGGCUAGCCUCAAGUGAUGAUUAUUGGAGGUAGAGCACUGUUUGGACGAGGGGCCCCUCUCGGGUUACCGAAUUCAGACAAACUCCGAAUGCCAAUUAAUUUAACUUGGGAGUCAGAACAUGGGUGAUAAGGUCCGUGUUCGAAAGGGAAACAGCCCAGACCACCAGCUAAGGUCCCAAAAUAUAUGUUAAGUGGAAAAGGAUGUGGCGUUGCCCAGACAACUAGGAUGUUGGCUUAGAAGCAGCCAUCAUUUAAAGAGUGCG